rnacentral:rRNA from 1 species
UACAGAGGGUGCAAGCGUUAAUCGGAAUUACUGGGCGUAAAGGGUGUGUAGGUGGCAAGAUAAGUUAGGUGUGAAAUCCUCGGGCUUAACCUGAGAAUUGCGCUUAAUACUGUUUAGCUAGAGUACUGCAGAGGGUAGUGGAAUUUCCAGUGUAGCGGUGAAAUGCGUAGAUAUUGGAAGGAACACCAGUGGCGAAGGCGACUACCUGGAUAGAUACUGACACUGAUACACGAGAGCGUGGGUAG